CCCCCGCCCUCUCAAGUAGCAUCCAUGGUACAAACGUCUCUGCACCACACGCCCGCACAAGUAGCAUCGCAAGUCCAGACGUCUCUGAACCCCUGCCCGCACAAUCAAGUAGCGUCGCUAGCCCAGACAUCUCUGAGCCCCCGCCCGCGCACAUAGUCCCUACUCAUAGCUAUGUAUACAUACAUAUAUAUAUCGCAUCUCUUAACAUCACACAAUCAAAUCAACGGUUGAAUCCUCUAGACCCCUAGUUCU
rnacentral:lncRNA from 1 species